rnacentral:tRNA from 1 species
GGAUAAAUAGUUUAUAAUUAAAGAAUAAGAAAUUGCAAGUUUUUAGGAAACUAGUGUUUUUAUCUU